rnacentral:rRNA from 1 species
UGAGAAUCUACAUUCAGGUCUGGGACAACCACUGGAAACGGUGGCUAAUACCGGAUGUGCCGGGAGGUGAAAGAUUUAUUGCCUGAAAAUGAGCUCGCGUCUGAUUAGCUAGUUGGUGUGGUAAGAGCGCACCAAGGCGACGAUCAGUAGCUGGUCUGAGAGGAUGACCAGCCACACUGGGACUGAGACACGGCCCAGACUCCUACGGGAGGCAGCAGUGGGGAAUUUUCCGCAAUGGGCGAAAGCCUGACGGAGCAAUACCGCGUGAGGGAGGAAGGCUCUUGGGUCGUAAACCUCUUUUCUCAAGGAAUAAGAAAGUGAAGGUACUUGAGGAAUAAGCAUCGGCUAACUCCGUGCCAGCAGCCGCGGUAAUACGGAGGAUGCAAGCGUUAUCCGGAAUGAUUGGGCGUAAAGGGUCCGCAGGUGGCAUUGAAAGUCUGCUGUUAAAGAGUUUGGCUCAACCAGAUAAAAGCAGUGGAAACUACAAAGCUAGAGUGCGUUCGGGGCAGAAGGAAUUCCUGGUGUAGCGGUGAAAUGCGUAGAGAUCAGGAAGAACACCGGUGGCGAAAGCGUUCUGCUAGGCCUGCACUGACACUGAGGGACGAAAGCUAGGGGAGCGAAUGGGAUU